rnacentral:miRNA from 10 species
CAUAAGCAUCCUGGACGAGCCCCCAUAUGUGACAUGCUGGCUCCAUGCAUGCAACAUGAACCGGGGAGACCACGCUAUUUCCACAA